rnacentral:rRNA from 1 species
GACAGAGGGUGCAAGCGUUGUUCGGAAUUACUGGGCGUAAAGCGCGUGUAGGUGGCGAGGCAAGUCGGGUGUGAAAGCCCUGGGCUCAACCCAGGAAGUGCACUCGAUACUGCCUAGCUAGAGUCCCGGAGAGGUUGGUGGAACUCUCGGUGUAGAGGUGAAAUUCGUAGAUAUCGAGAAGAACACCGGUGGCGAAGGCGGCCAACUGGACGGUGACUGACACUGAGACGCGAAAGCGUGGGGAGCAAACAGG